GUCUGCGUAGCUCAGCUGGAUAGAGCGACGGGUUCCGAACCCGUAGGCCGGGGGUUCGAGUCCCUCCGUGGACG
rnacentral:tRNA from 1 species